rnacentral:lncRNA from 1 species
GUAGCUUUUCUGACUCUUAACGAGCUCUUGAAUCUACUUUCAGAGAAAUGCCAGCAAAAACUGUAGUCAUUUGUAGCCCAAGAACAAGUCUGGAAGAAAAAUACACAGAGGACUAGCACCAAGAGGCCAUCUCAUGUAGUUUGGUAAAGCAACACGUCACUGUGGGAAAAUCUCUACUGAAGAUCCCAACCUGUAAAUGCCAUCAAUCCGAAGAAGUCCUUGUGCUGAGGAACCAGACUUCCUCUCUGGACAUACAUACAACACAGUGGAAAAUAACAAAUGAUGACAAAGACUUUGUAUCUGCUGUAUAACAAAUCACCUCCAAAUCUGGC